GACGUAGGGCGCGAGCGUUGUCCGGAUUUAUUGGGCGUAAAGAGCUCGUAGGCGGCUUGUCGCGUCGGCUGUGAAAACCCGCGGCUCAACUGUGGGCGGGCAGCUGAUACGGGCGGGCUGGGAUUCGGUAGGGGAGACUGGAAUUCCUGGUGUAGCGGUGAAAUGCGCAGAUAUCAGGAGGAACACCGAUGGCGAAGGCAGGUCUCUGGGCCACUACUGACGCUGAGAAGCGAAAGCAUGGGGAGCGAACAGG
rnacentral:rRNA from 1 species